AAUAGAUACCCAGGUAGUCCACCCCGUAAACGUUGGGAACUAGUUGUGGGGUCCUUUCCACGGAUUCCGUGACGCAGCUAACGCAUUAAGUUCCCCGCCUGGGGAGUACGGCCGCAAGGCUAAAACUCAAAGGAAUUGACGGGGACCCGCACAAGCGGCGGAGCAUGCGGAUUAAUUCGAUGCAACGCGAAGAACCUUACCAAGGCUUGACAUACACGAGAACGGGCCAGAAAUGGUCAACUCUUUGGACACUCGUGAACAGGUGGUGCAUGGUUGUCGUCAGCUCGUGUCGUGAGAUGUUGGGUUAAGUCCCGCAACGAGCGCAACCCUCGUUCUAUGUUGCCAGCACGUAAUGGUGGGAACUCAUGGGAUACUGCCGGGGUCAACUCGGAGGAAGGUGGGGAUGACGUCAAAUCAUCAUGCCCCUUAUGUCUUGGGCUUCACGCAUGCUACAAUGGCCGGUACAAUGGGCUGCGAUACCGUAAGGUGGAGCGAAUCCCAAAAAGCCGGUCCCAGUUCGGAUUGAGGUCUGCAACUCGGA
rnacentral:rRNA from 1 species